rnacentral:rRNA from 1 species
GAUGAACGCUGGCGGCGUGCCUAAUACAUGCAAGUCGAGCGAACGGACGAGAAGCUUGCUUCUCUGAUGUUAGCGGCGGACGGGUGAGUAACACGUGGAUCACCUACCUCUAAGACUGGGAUAACUUCGGGAAACCGUAUCUAAUACCGGAUAAUAUUUUGAACCGCAUGGUUCAAAAGUGAAAGGCGGUCUUGCUGUCACUUAUAGAUGGAUCCGUGCUGCAUUAGCUAGUUGGUAAGGUAACGGCUUACCAAGGCAACGAUGCAUAGCCGACCUGAGAGGGUGAUCGGCCACACUGGAACUGAGACACGGUCCAGACUCCUACGGGAGGCAGCAGUAGGGAAUCUUGCGCAAUGGGCGAAAGCCUGACGGAGCAACGCCGCGUGAGUGAUGAAGGUCUUCGGAUCGUAAAACUCUGUUAUUAGGGAAGAACAUAUGUGGAAGUAACUGUGCACAUCUUGACGGUACCUAAUCAGAAAGCCACGGCUAACUACGUG